CAGGAAUCCGGCGUCUCGUCUCCCCUCCGGUGGUGGUUCGGCAGCUGAUCUGUUGGUUCAUUUUUCAGGACAAGUAUCCUAUUGAUUUUGAUGCAUGGCGAUAAACUCAGCCUGAAGGAACUCAGCCGGCCCCGAAGGAUAUGACUGCAAUUUCGACACAGGCGGCUGGUGGCGUGAAUAAAGGUCGAGUCUACGAGAUUAGAGUACAGCCAUCCUUCAGUCGUCCAUCAGCACCAUUAUUCACUGGGGCAUCAGUUUCCCAAGAAGACAUGAAAGCUAUGCGUCAAAAAGUGGAUCAAAUGUCGCAAGAAUUUCAAGCAACUCAGGCUUUGAUCCAAAAAUUAUUAAAAAAGAUAAGCAAGAAAUGAGUUGCAAUGGAGUCUGAGUCUGAGGAGGAGACUGAUUCUGAAUAGGCUAUUUGAAUAUUUUAGAGUUGAAGUUAGAGAAAUGUGUAAUUUAUGUUAUUUGAUAGUUGGUUGUUUGAUUAGUUGGUUGAAUUGUUAUAA